UGGGCCAUAAUGCUAGCCGUCCUUCGUCUGUUCACGUUGUCUAGCGUUUAACAUGCGACGGGACGUGCAUGGGUUAAGGCGGGGAGGAUGUAACCCACAUAAAAAGAGCUGCAUCUAUAACUAAGCCGAAAUUUUAAAUUCCAAUUGGGAGCGUGCCCGUGAAGGCAUCGCGACGCGUCAUGGCGCGUGUCUGCACAUGCCUGUUGUGACCAAUCACAUUCGCGAGGCACCGAUAUAUGCCUUCCGGGUUGUCGUCUCGAAAAGAUGCGGGGGAGAGGCGUUAGCGGAUGGAAGCAACAGUAUUUUGAUACCGCCGUGGGUAGAUGCGUGGGGCUCGUAUGUGACAUCGCACGUAGUGAAUGGUGAGUGAGUCUGAAUGUUUGUUUGUAUUUGUAACCUGUAACAGUAUGCCAGUGCUAUUAGCUGAUGGGAUGGCUGAGGCUUACUGUAUUACUACUGCUCUCACUUUAUGUGGCUGUAGUUUUGUUAUUUGAGAUUGUCAUUUGUUUUAAUUCAUUACAAUGGUUGGAUAUGUAUUUGUUGUAUUUUCUCAUGGAUUUUAUGUGUACACUGGAACUAAAGCUAGCUUGGGAAGUUUAGAUGAAUUUUGCUAAUAGUGGUUUUGUGAUUAUAGUGCAGGCUAGUGGUGCCCUGGAGAGACCACAGCGACACCACUACUUUGGAUGGCGAGCUAGGCCCAACGAGCCAGAACCCCAGCUACAACUUCCUGCGGUCUGGUAGGAGGCUGCUGCGGCCUACACUCUCCCCUCUUGGUUUAGUCCCCUAAAUCUCACUUCUGAGAUUUCAGCUUUGGAAUCUUAGUGCUGAUCAUCCUACUUCAAAUUUCAACCUGUCUAGACUGUCAUACGCGUUGGACUUAUAUCACUCAUGAAAUAAACUUUAUGGACAUUGUUGCCAGAGGUUGGACGAGGUUCCUGCACUGCCGUGCAGCGGAUAUUUUACAAGCUUGAAUUGUUUUAUUUUUUCCUUGUCUGCAGAUUUUGUAAAUAUUGGUGUUUGGUAGUUGCACUUUGUUUUCACUAUAAAUAACAUUUGUAAUCA
ensembl:lncRNA